CUGGAAGCCUUCUCAUUCGGGGGUUGGGCACCUCAAAUAUUAAUAUUAUCUCACCCUGCUAUUGGAGGGUUUAUAACACAGUGGUUGGAACUCUACCUUUGAAGCAAUAUGUGCUGGGGUGCCAAUGCUUACGUGGCCACUAUUUGCGGAUCAGUUUUUGAAUGAAAGUCUAGUGGUGCAUGUACUAAAAGUUGGAUUGAAGGUUGGGGUGGAAAUUCCGCUUACAUGGGGUAAGGAAGUGGAAAUUGGUGUGCAAGUGAAGAAGAAAGAUGUUGAAAGGGCAAUAGCAAAGUUGAUGGAUGAGACAAGCGAAAGUGGAAAAAGAAGAAAAAGGGUGAGAGAUAGAGAAAGGGGGUUCAUCAUAUUCUAAUGUGACCUUGCUUAUCCAGGAAAUCAUGCAGAAAAACAAGAGAGAUGUAUGAUAAUCUUCAUUUUCCAUAAGCCAUUUUGAAAUAAAAGGCAACACCUAGCAUGUAGAUUUUCAUUUAAUGUACUUUCUUUUAAGUUCUAUUCAUGACCUCUUUCAAAUUUACUAAUUAUCUAUAUUUUGAAUUGUUUGCCAUGACUUCAUGAUCUUUCUGAAAUUUCUUUGUACUUUUGUAAGUUGAUAUCAUAGUUUUAGGCAAUUAUUUGCUUUCUGUUGUCCCUUCUUAUUGUAUUUAGGAGAAUAAUUUUGGGGUUGGUAUACGGGGAAAUAAUAUUUUUUCGUGUUAUUAACACGAAAAAGCUACAAAUAUAUCCACUUAAAUUUUUAAAAAAAUAAACUUUGAAUCUUCUUGGAUGAUGCGUUAAUUACUAGUGCUCCUCCAUACAUGUCAGAAUUUCUCCACACGUAUGUCCGACCUGAUUGUAGUGUGUGUAUUAGGCAUUAUUCUAACAAUGAUUGUUACUCUCAUGGACAGAGCUUGUGAUGGACAAAGAGACAAAUCCAUCGAUAAAAAUAAACACUACUCUUAGAUUAUGUAUUAAUUUAUUCUUGAUCGAUCCCAUAGAAAUUUGUUUUCUAGAGCUAUCCGAUUUGAAAUCAAGCAGACAAAAGGCCAAAAAACAUGACUCAUAAGUGUCACAUAUAUAAUCCAAACGUGUUUACGUAAGCGCUUACAUGAUCAUGCCCUUCACCAAUAGUCAUACAUACAAGUCUUACAAAUAGAUAAGAUGAAGCGAAUUCCUUGUACUGUACCUCAUCAUUUCACUGCAAAAAUAUGGUUUCCGAAGCACAAAAGCCACACUUUGUCUUGUUUCCAUUGAUGGCCCAAGGCCACAUGAUCCCCAUGAUGGACAUCGCAAAGAUAUUGGUGCACCGCAAUGUUAUUGUGACUGUGGUCACAACGCCACAUAACGCAGCUCGUUUCACACCAAUCUUUGAUCGUUAUAUUGAGUCUGGCUUUCCUGUAAGAUUGGUUCAACUUCAAUUCCCAUGUGAAGAAGCUGGAGUACCAAAAGGAUGCGAGAAUCUCGAUAUGAUACCUUCACUUGCCACGGCCACAAGUUUCUUCAAAGCAGCAAACCUUCUACAACAACCAGUGGAAAAACUGUUUGAAGAGUUAACACCACCACCAAGCUGCAUCAUCUCUGAUAUGUGUUUGCCAUACACAAUCCACAUCGCCAAAAAAUUCAAUAUUCCCAGGAUUUCUUUUGGAGGAGUAGGUUGCUUUUAUCUUUUGUGUUUGCAUAAUAUACGCAUCCAUAAUGUUGGGGAGAACAUAACAUCUGAGUCCGAGAAAUUUGUUGUGCCUGGUAUCCCUGACAAAAUUGAGAUGACAAAAGCACAGGCUGGACAACCGAUGAAUGAAAGCUGGAAUCAGUUUGGUUAUGAUGUUAUGGCGGCUGAAAUGGGUACUUAUGGGGUAAUCACGAAUUCUUUUGAAGAGUUGGAGCCAGCAUAUGUAAGGGACUACAAGAAUAUCAGAGGCGAUAAAGUGUGGUGUAUAGGCCCUGUGUCACUCAUUAACAAGGAUCAUUUGGAUAAGGCUCAAAGAGGUAGGGCCUCAAUUGAUGUGUCCCAAUACUUAGAAUGGCUUGAUUGUCAGAAGCCAGGGACUGUAAUCUAUGCAUGUCUUGGAAGCCUAUGCAAUUUAACAACACCCCAAUUGAUAGAGCUUGGUUUAGCCUUGGAAGCAUCAGAAAGACCCUUCAUUUGGGUUAUCAGGGAAGGAGGUCAUUCAGAAGAAUUAGAAAAGUGGAUUAAGGAAUAUGGAUUUGAGGAAAGCACCAAUGCUAGAAGCCUUCUCAUUCGGGGUUGGGCUCCUCAAUUGUUAAUAUUAGCACACCCUGCUAUUGGAGGGUUCAUAACACACUGUGGUUGGAACUCUACAAUAGAAGCAAUAUGUGCUGGGGUGCCAAUGCUUACGUGGCCACUAUUUGCAGAUCAGUUUUUGAAUGAAAGUCUAGUGGUGCAUGUACUAAAAGUUGGAUUGAAGGUUGGGGUGGAAAUUCCACUUACAUGGGGUAAGGAAGUGGAAAUUGGUGUGCAAGUGAAGAAGAAAGAUGUUGAAAGGGCAAUAGCAAAGUUGAUGGAUGAGACAAGCGAAAGUGAAGAAAGAAGAAAAAGGGUGAGAGAGCUUGCUGAGAUGGCUAACAGAGCCGUAGAGAAAGGGGGUUCAUCAUAUUCUAAUGUGACCUUGCUUAUCCAGGAUAUCAUGCAAAAAACCUAGAGAGAUGUGUGAUAAUCUCAUUUGUCAUAAACCAAUUUGAAGUAAAAGGCAACUCAUU
rnacentral:lncRNA from 1 species